rnacentral:rRNA from 1 species
UACGUAGGGGGGCAAGCGUUGUCCGGAUUUAUUGGGCGUAAAGAGCGUGUAGGCGGCCAGGUAGGUCCGCUGUGAAAAACUCGAGGCUCAACCUCGAGAUGUCGGCGGAAACCAUCUGGCUAGAGUCCGGAAGAGGAAAGUGGAAUUCCCGGUGUAGCGGUGAAAUGCGCAGAUAUCGGGAAGAACACCCGUGGCGAAGGCGGCUUUCUGGGACGGUACUGACGCUGAGACGCGAAAAGCGUGGGGGAGCGAACAGG